ACCAAAUCUCAUUAUAGAUGGUUGUAAGCCACCAUAUGGUUGCUGGGAAUUAAACUCAGGACCUCUGGAAGAGGAGCCCAUACUCUUAUCCUCUGAUCCAUCUCUCCAGCCCCCAGCAGAUCCUUUUCUAACCUUCAGAAUGGAGGCAGAAAGGAGGUUCUGUUUCUGCCUAACUCCAUAAUGGCUACAUGGCGGCCAACACAGUCCUAUCGCUUUUCAUUGGUCCUCACUGUCUCCAGCAACUAUCUUUCAUCCAACUCUGAUGUCUGGAUGACUUCAGUGGUCUGAUUGGCCAGGUUUGGUCUGCACAUCUUCCUGAAGUCAAAGAAGUGUUUGGACUACCUGCAGCUAGCUUGUUUCCCAGGCUGCAGCUCCAGGUGCAGAGUCCAGCAGUUCCAGUGAAUAAUGUAGGUAUAGCUGCAAGCAAGCCCGGAAGAAUCUGGCACAGCUUCGAGUCACCC